rnacentral:rRNA from 1 species
CCCUACGGGGGGCAGCAGUGGGGGAUAUUGCACAAUGGGGGGAACCCUGAUGCAGCGACGCCGCGUGGGUGAAGAAGCGCCUCGGCGCGUAAAGCCCUGUCAGCAGGGAAGAAAAUGACGGUACCUGAAGAAGAAGCCCCGGCUAACUACGUGCCAGCAGCCGCGGUAAUACGUAGGGGGCAAGCGUUAUCCGGAUUUACUGGGUGUAAAGGGGGCGCAGACGGCGAUGCAAGCCAGGAGUGAACGCCCGGGGCCCAACCCCGGGACUGCUCUUGGAACUGCGUGGCUGGAGUGCAGGAGGGGCG